GCUUUUCUUCCCAAGCUCCUUAGACUACGAUGACCUGGAUGACUGAGAACCUUAACAGACAUUGGCCAACAAUCAGGGUUACAGAAAGUGUGAUGACAAAGGUGCCUAAGAAGUACAGCAAGCAGUCCAUACCUGGGGUCUUGAAAACUGCCAGGCAAAGACCCACAGCCUUGGCCAACUGCUUGAAGAGGUAUACCAGAGAAAUAGAAGGCAGGAGAAUAAACCAGCUGUUCAACCAUCCAAGGUGUACUCUCAAUGGCACAGGAAAAAUAUGAGAACAGCACCACCAAGGCUGGAGACAGGGUAAUACUGGAAAAGCAUAAGAGAGAAGGAUGCAACCUACAACGGCAAUGCUCAGUGGCUAGCAGAUCUAAGAGGAGACCACAGUAAACUCCCUGAACAGGGUCCAGUAAGCAUUACACUGGCAGACAUCUAAGGAAGAAUCUCCAAUAUGAAGAGCUGGACAGCCCCAGGCCAUGACAUGAUUCAUGCCUACUGGCUGAAGAAGCUGAUUGCACUCCAUGAGCAUCUGGCAGCACACAUGAACAGGCUCCUAAUGGAUGAAACACACAAAGAAUGGCCGCACAGUUCUGAUUCCCAAGGAUCCCCAGAAGGGCCCAUACCAUCCAACUACCAGCCAAUAACUUGCCUCAGCACUACAUGGAAGCUCCUGUCAGGCAUCAUAGAGGCUCAGAUGAAUAGGCACAUGGCUCAAUACAUGAGUGGGGCGCAGAAAGGAAUAGGCAGCAAUACCAGAAGUGUAAAACACCAGUUCCUGGUAGACAGAGCAGUCACCUGAGCACUGUCUGGACUGAUUACAAGAAGGCCUAUGACUUGAUGCCCCACGCAUGGAUCCUGGAAUGCCUAGAACUAUACAAGAUCAACAGAACCCUAAGGGUCUUCAUCAGGAACUCAGUGGGUAUGUUGUAAACAGCACUAGAAGCCAACUUCAAGCCAAUAGCACAAGUCACCGUCAAGUGCGGAUCUACUAAAGAGUUGCCCAUUCCCCACUGCUGUUCUGCAUAGGCCUGAACCCCCUCAGUGAGAACACUGACAAGACUGGCCACGGAUACCGACUACAGAAUGGAGCAGUUGUCAGCCACCUCCUGUGCAUGGAUGACAUCAAGGUGUAUGCCAACAGUGAACAAGACAUAGAUUCACUGAUUCACAGCACGAGGAUAUACAACAACGACAUCAGAAUGUCAGUCGGACGGUAGUCAGAACUGAAGGGAUCGUGCUACCGGAAGACAACAUUGCAGACAUUGGGGACAGCUACAAGUAUCUGGGAAUCCCACAAGCAAAUGGGAUCCAGGAAGAGGCCACUAGGAAAGCUGCAACCACCAAGUACCUGCAGUACAGAGGGUUAGGCAAGUCCUAAAGAGUCAAGAUCUGGGCUAUGAACACCUAUGCCUUGUAGGUGUUGAUAGAAGCCACCGACAUCAAGACAAGGAAGCUCCUGACCAUGUAUGAAAGGUUUUACCCCAAAUCCAGCAUCCUGAGACUGUAUGCUAAGCGGAAGGAAGGAGGCCGGAGACUAAUUAAACUUAUGGACAAAAUUUAGAUCCAGGAGAAGCAAUGUUCCACAUCCUGAUUGUGGAACACUGGACCAGCUGUUUAUCCACUUGUGGUUGCAUGCAGGUGUAUUGGAUGUCUUGAUGCAAUGUCAAUCAUCCAGUUUUCUGAGACGUCUGUUACCCACCAGCUCCAUAGCAGAUCGGGAGGUCGAGGAUCACUAGAGCCGGCGAGAACAGCGGACUCCCAGCACAUCGUUUUCAACCCCACCGCGGUCUUUGGCUACUCAGGUUAAACAUGAUAUAUAAGUGUCUUAGAUAACUUAAAAAUGUUUUUUAUUAUUGUUCGGCUCUUUUCAGUGUUUUAUUUGUUCUUGUGUAAAUCGGUUUGGCUGAGAUAUAUUUCAAUUCAGGAGGAAACAUUUUCACCAGGAACAAAAACAGCAUGCUAAUAUGUGGACAUUCUGAAGGCUGCUUCAAAAUAAUCAGAUUAUAUUUUAAAUAUUUGUUCAGUUCUCUUCCAAACCCCAGCAGCUGUCUAUUGUAAUUUUUG